rnacentral:rRNA from 1 species
UGAACGCUGGCGGCGUGCCUAACACAUGCAAGUCGAGCGGUAACAGGUGUAGCAAUACAUGCUGACGAGCGGCGGACGGGUGAGUAACGCUUGGGAAUCUGCCUAUUAGUGGGGGACAACCCGGGGAAACUCGGGCUAAUACCGCAUACGCUCUACGGAGGAAAGCCGGGGACCGGCAAGGCCUGGCGCUAAUAGAUGAGCCCAAGUCGGAUUAGCUAGUUGGUAGGUAAUGGCCUACCAAGGCGACGAUCCGUAACUGGUCUGAGAGGACGACCAGUCACACCGGAACUGAGACACGGUCCGGACUCCUACGGGAGGCAGCAGUGGGGAAUAUUGGACAAUGGGCGAAAGCCUGAUCCAGCGACGCCGCGUGGGUGAAGAAGGCCUGC